rnacentral:rRNA from 2 species
CCCUUUGGGUGUGACUGCGUACCUUUUGUAUAAUGGGUCAGCGACUUAUAUUCUGUAGCAAGGUUAACCGAAUAGGGGAGCCGGAGGGAAACCGAGUCUUAACCGGGCGUUAAGUUGCAGGGUAUAGACCCGAAACCCGGUGAUCUAGCCAUGGGCAGGUUGAAGGUUGGGUAACACUAACUGGAGGACCGAACCGACUAAUGUUGAAAAAUUAGCGGAUGACCUGUGGCUGGGGGUGAAAGGCCAAUCAAACCGGGAGAUAGCUGGUUCUCCCCGAAAGCUAUUUAGGUAGCGCCUCGUGAAUUCAUCUCCGGGGGUAGAGCACUGUUUCGGCUAGGGGGCCAUCCCGGCUUACCAACCCGAUGCAAACUGCGAAUACCGGAGAAUGUUAUCACGGGAGACACACGGCGGGUGCUAACGUCCGUCGUGAAGAGGGAAACAACCCAGACCGCCAGCUAAGGUCCCAAAGUCAUGGUUAAGUGGGAAACGAUGUGGGAAGGCCCAGACAGCCAGGAUGUUGGCUUAGAAGCAGCCAUCAUUUAAAGAAAGCGUAAUAGCUCACUGGUCGAGUCGGCCUGCGCGGAAGAUGUAACGGGGCUAAACCAUGCACCGAAGCUGCGGCAGCGACACUGUGUGUUGUUGGGU